rnacentral:lncRNA from 10 species
CUCUCUUCUCUGCCUCUCCCUGUUCCCCCUUCUUCUACUCUAUCUCCCCGCCUUGCUCCCUCACUCUCUCUGUCUCUCUGUUUUCCUUUUCUCCCUCUCCCUCCUCUUUUCCUCUCUCUCCGACCCUAUUUGGCUCUUUAGAUUGAAAACUUCCCACCACCUGACUUCAGACAGGGAUGGGAUCAUUUGCCUUCUCUUCUUAACAGUAUCAGAACCUGUAGGCUCACAGGCUCCUUUCUUAGGAGAGCCCAGCAUGUGAGGAAGGGCUGGUGAUCCCAAGUGAGAGCAUAGAAACAUCCUUGGGGAGUCAGCUUUGGGAAGAGGCUGCUGGCAAGUAAGGCCUAAUCCUCAUGCAGGAGCUCUGCGCCCCAUUCAGCAGCUGGGCCCCUCCUCCUCCUGGGGCUCCUGACAGAGGGGGUUCCUCCACUCCUGGCCGGUUCCCCAGCUCAGCAGGCUCCCGCCCCCCAUCCACAGCUCUGCCUGUGUAAGGCCAGAAGCCCAGCAUGCCUGCCUGGAAUACUAAACAGGGCCCUUCCAGAUCCAGAUGCACUGAGAAGGCCAGACAAUCCCUCACCUCCCCCAUCCCCAAGGGCCUGGCUGGAGAGGGCUGGAAUCUAGUGCAUUGCAGGGAGCAGGGAAGCUCAUCACAGUCCUCAUGUGGGGACAGAGGAGGCCCCUGAUCCCUCUGGGAUGUGGGUGGCAGGCUGCCAGCUGAGGAGGUUGGAGGCCCCAGGCUCCCCUUCCAGACAGCAUAAAUCCAAUGGUGUGGGGUCCAGCUCCCUGUGGCCCAGCACACAGGCAGGAUUGCAAGGAUGAAGGCCCGAGGUCUUCCUUAGGAUCUUCAAAGAUUUCACCGAAGAACCAGCAUGUGUCCCUGACCUGAUGGAAUGUGUCCUUACCAGGAUAAAAAAUCGAUGCAAUACUGUUGGAAAGUGACCCCAUGGUUUGAAGCAAACCAAAUUAUACGUUAAAGCAAAAAAUUACCUCCAGAAUAAACGCUAAGCACAGUGACUGUCUACAAAGGCCAUGUUUUAAGCAUUCGCACUCCAGGACCCUGGGCUUAGUGGCACAUUAGACACUCAAUAAUUGCAUAUCUAGCAUUCAGAAACUUUUAAGUGGUUCUUAUUUUGAUUCCUUUCCCCUCUCUGUAGUGGGAACUGCCCUCAAUCAUUCUGACAGGUAUUUCUCUUGCCGCCCACAAAUUUUCAGCCCUGCAGUAUACCACAUUGGUCUGGACUCUAGCAUAUGCAGGAUUUAUGCCAGGCUUGCAAAAGAUCCCUGAAUCAGCCAGUCCAAACCCCCUCUUUGUGCCAUGUCUACCUCGGGUGAUGGCAGUGUGACAGCAUUCUCACCUCCACCCCCAAGACACACACACACACACCCUGGAUAUCUCACCAUAAUAAUAAUGUAUUUUAUAUCAUGAGCAGGGGAAUACGAUUAAAUCUUCCUCCUAUACCCCAGGUUCAGAAAAGAAUAAUAAUGAUUUCCUAUAUUAUGUGGAAUCUCAUAGUUCACAAAAUAAUUUCAGAUCCACCAUCUGCUUUGAAUGUCACAGCACCCUGUGUAAUAAGUAAGUCAGGAAUGGUGUCCCAUUAGCCACAGAUCAAAGAAGCAUGGACCAGAGUAAGGAAGCAAUUUUCUGAAGGACACACAGCAAAUUAGGAGGAGGAAUGGACCCCACACACAAGUCUGUGUACUCUGGGCUAAUGCUCUUCAAGGCCUUUUUCCUCCUUGCUCUGAGCUUACUUCUUGCAGGUGUCAGAAAGGUACAUUGAUAGGACAACUUGCUUCCCCCAGACAGCCCCACCUCUUCAAAGAUAUCCACAAGUUUGCCCACACAAGUAUUCCAUCCCUACCUCCUAAUUUCCACCUUUACAAAUGGCACGUCCCAGCCCCACAUUGCCCACAGCACCUCCGGGUCUCUGCUUCUGUCUAAAAUCCUCAUCUCCAUUCUUGUGCCUCCAAUCCUGCCAGUCUUUCAGGCCCAUCUUUAACAGCUCUUUAUCCAGGACACUCUCUGAUGCUGCCAUCACAGCCUGCAACAGCCACAGGAGAAGCCACCCCUCUCUGUAUCCCUGUAACCCUUGAUUCUUCCUCGCAUGGUCAUCAUUUCUGGUCUUGGGACUUCUCUUCUAUUAGCCCAGUGGGUACCUGGAGGGCAGGAACCAGGGUACACUUGCCUUGGGAGCUCCCACAGACCUCACAUGGUACCUACAUCUAGUAGGGACUCAAUCAAUAUCCAUGCAUUCAUUGUAUUAAUCUUGGAAGGAAGCACAAUGUGUAUUACAUAGAGGGAGGUUUACCUGUGCAAGGACAACCCCUUUAUAAAUUCAAGAAUAUAGACACAAUGUGUCGGGCACAGUGGCUCAUGCCAGUAAUCCCAGCACUUUGGGAAGCUGAGGCAGGUGGAUGACUUGAGAUCAGGAGCUCAAGACAAGCCUGGCCAACCAGGGUAAAACCCCAUCUCUACUAAAAAUACAAAAACUAGCUGGGCAUCAUGACACACGCCUGUAAUCCCCGCUACUCUGGAGGCUCAGGCAGGAGAAUUACUUGAACCCAAGAGGCAGGGGUUGCAGUGAGCUAAGAUCGCGCCACUACACUCCAGCCUGGGCAACAGGGUGACUCUGUCUCAAUUUAAAAAAAAGAAAGAAAGAAAGGAUAUACACACAAUGUAAAAUCACUGCACCGAGUCAGUAUAGGGGCUGCCUUAAACUCAGGGAACAGCCAAAUCUGUUUAUGAAUUAAAAGAACAGUCACUAAGGAGGCAAGAUCAAGUAUCAUCAAAACAUUAGGCCUUGACAUAGAACCUGAAGGAUUCCCCCAAGCCCUAGGGCUGUAUCCAGACAGAAUUUUCAUUCCAUAACUAUCACAAAAUGUCUCUUUCAUUUCCAGCUCUGUGUUAGAGGUCAGGGACAUAAACGGCUCUCAUCUCCAGGCCCUGCCAUGAUGGACCUCACAGCCUAAUGGGGAAAAGAGACACAAAACCAGACAAUGACAGAACAAUAUAAAAGCACUGGGGGACACCCAGACAGGCAUAAUAGCGCAAAGAGGGAAGGUGCCCAGGUGGGAGAACCUAGGCUACGUUAUGAAGAUGACAUUUCCCAUGCAAAUACACAUAAACGUGUCUAUCACUCUUGUGCACAUGUGUGGGGCUGUGUGUUGGGAUGGCAUUAAUAGUAGCUAAGGUGUUAAAAAAUACAAUACUAAAAUUCCCAGGCAAAGCAAAAGUUUCCACCAAUUAUCCGAAUAAUUUUUCCAAAAGUUCAGAUAAUAGGCACGUUUAAGAAAUUUCUGGUACAAAGAAACAAACAUGUGGCUACCUUUUCCUUUUUAGCAGGAUGCUUUAAUGCCACAUAAACACAUGCUCAUUACCAAGCUGAAAGCUGAUUUACAUAGCAUCACCUCUGAAGCAUACAAAGAUAAGAAAAUUCAAGUGCUCCGAACCUCAGUUUUCUUAACAAUAAUACGGAAGUAAAAUACAGACCUCGCAGGAUUUGCUGGGGGGAGAUUCCAUGAGAUGAUGUAUGUAAAAGACUCUUUGCAAUGAAAACCACAAUAGCAAGCUCUUGAUCACUUUUAGCUCACACGCUGGGAAUCAGCAUAGUAUUAUGGGCAGGAACAUGGACUGGAGUCUGUGGAUGUGGGUUCAAAUCCCAGCUCCACCCAACUGCAAUGAUCUGAGGCAACACUACCUAUGUAGCCUUUCUUAGCCUGAGUCUCCUAAACUGUACAAUGAGGAUUUUAAUGCGUACCUCAUAGCUCUAAUGAUUAAAUGAUGUAAUAUGGUGAAAUACCACAGUACAGGUAGUAAAUUCUCAAUACAGCAUAACUAGCAUCAUGUUACUCUUGUCAAAUAUUUUGUCUAAUAUUUCAAGGGAAGGUCAGAAGAUGGAGUUCACAAUCUACAUAAUCCACAGAUGCUCAGGUGUUACAAGUAGUGGGAGGGAGACGGCACAAUAUGGGACAGGCUAAGAGUUCUGGGUCUGAUUAUUCCAUUCAGCUGCUGGCAUGGGGCUGACUCUGGGAGACAGCCACCCACAGUCAUGGGAGUAGGGGCAAUUCUCUGAAGAGGGCAAAAACAAUCAAGGGUGUCAGCUGCAUGUCUCAGAUUAUUGAUUAUCUUCAUCCAUUUGUGCUGCUAUAACAGAAUGCCUGAGACUGGAUAAUUUAUACACAACAGAAAUUCAUUUCUCACAAUUCUGGAGGCUGGGAAGUCCAAGAUCAAGGUUCAGCAUCUGGUAAAGACCUAUUCAUCAUAGAUGGCACCAUCUAGGUGUCCUUACAUGGCAGAAGGGACAGAAGGGCAAAAGGGCAUGGAGCCCUAGCUAAUUCCCUUGAGCCUUUUUAGAAGGGCACUAAUCCAUUCAUGGGGGUAGAGCUUCACCGCCUCAUAUCAUGACAUUGCUGAUGAAGUCUAAACAUAUUAAUACAGGGGGCAUACAUUCAGACCAUAGCAUAUGUCUCAUGUACUUACAUUUGAAAUAAGACCAGCUUUUCACUGGACAUCUCUCUCUCUCUCUCUGUCUCUUUCACUCACACAUCACACACACACACACACACACACACACACACACACAUACACUUCCUAUGAGGAGACCCCAGACAUCUUUUUAAAUGUGUACAACUAGUUUUGGAAAAUAAAAUAUUCAGCUGACCUAAUUUUUACAUUGGGAAUAGGAGACAUAAGUGUAUUUUCAAUAAAUCCACCAAAAUAUUUAUUUUAUUUCAACAUUAAGAUGUAAAAAGUCAGAGAGAGAGAACAGAGUAUGACAGCGUCAGUGAGCCGCCCACCUCCCUUUGGUGCUCCCCAAAGCCUAGCGCCUGCAGAAAGCUCCUGCCACCACCAGGGGCGACCUGCAUCUCCAGAGUGAUGGCAAUUUGUGGCUGUGGGUGCAGAGCAGGCUGGAAGUGACAGAUGGUGGAGAAUCAUCCCUACUUCCUUAUACCUUGGUGGGCAAUUAUGAGUCUCUCAGGAGGUUCCAGCAGGACUGCACGCUGGUACCUAUGGCAGGAGCCCCUGGUUAACCCUCUUUGUGGGCUUUUCCUCACUUCCUUGUCUCACAAUCCCUCUCUCCAGCUGUGGUUUCUUGGGAUCACCUCCAGAAUGAACUACUUAAACCCAAACCCUUGGCUCAAGGUGUACUUUGGGGGAUGCAAAACUAAGACACAGAGAGAAAAAUGAGAAAAUAAUUUAGAAAGAAAGAAUGAAGGCAAGAGGAGCAUUAUAACUGAUGGCAAGGAAGACCUGGAGGGAAAGAGAUGAGAUUAAGUAGGGGAAGGAAAAGACCAGAGAUGAAUGUCAGGCUUCCAUGACCAGGAAGCCCCUGUUUACUACCUGCCAACCCAACUCGUGCCAUCUGCCAAACCACACACCCCAAAAACCCAUGCACCUGCCCCCAGAUGUUCUCAGAUCCCCCGUCCCCACUGGCGUUGGUGAGCACUCACCCCUUGUCACCUGGUCCACCAGCCAAUGCAGAGGACAGAGUCUAGCCCCAUGGCUCCAACUCCCCAACCCAACACCUCCAGGUCCCACCUUCCUCCAAAAUCAUGGGUGGGGAUUUUCGGUCAGACAACUGGCCCUGUGAGGUUAGAGACCCCAAGAGUGUAAGUACAAUAGGAACCUACACUCUUGAUAAAGCCCCUGGCUGAGACAAAUCUCUUUCCCAAGAACGUGGUGUUACAAGAGAUGCAAGAGACAAAUUUUA